rnacentral:rRNA from 1 species
AUUGAACGCUGGCGGCAGGCCUAACACAUGCAAGUCGAAGGGAGUGGCGAACGGGUGAGUAACACGUGAGUAACUUGCCCUUUUCUUUGGGAUAAGCCUGGGAAACUGGGUCUAAUACUGGAUGGAUUGGGCGGGGCUCGGGGCUUAUCAGCUUGGUGGUGGGGUGAUGGCUUACCAAGGCUUUGACGGGUAGCCGGCCUGAGAGGGCGGUCGGUCACACUGGGACUGAGAUACGGCCCAGACUCCUACGGGAGGCAGCAGUGGGGGAUAUUGCACAAUGGACGAAAGUCUGAUGCAGCGACGUCGUGUGGGGGAUGAAGGCCUUCGGGUUGUAAACUCCUUUAGCCCGCGGAAUGGUAGUGGGUAAAGAAGCGCCGGCUAACUACGUGCCAGCAGCCGCGGUAAUUC